rnacentral:lncRNA from 1 species
GACCCACACUUUAGUAUACUGACCUCUUGGCGUGUGUCCAGGGCAGAGAGGAAACGGACCAGGGUGAGAAACCGUCUUAGGAGCUUGCUGUUGGAGUUGGGCUUGACCAUGUCCUGGCUGCUCCCCUCACUAGGCUGUGGCCCUGGACCAGUGGCAGCACAAAGGGGGGAACUCCAGCUCUGGAGAGCCAUCUGUCUGCAGGGUUUUCAU